CCCUUAGACGUUCUGGGCCGCACGCGCGCUACACUGACCAGUGCAACAAGCAUCCGUCCUUGGCCGACAGGCCCGGGCAAUCUUUGAACGCUGGUCGUGAUGGGGAUAGACUUUUGCAAUUUUUGGUCUUCAACGAGGAAUUCCUAGUAAACGCAAGUCAUCAACUUGUAUUGAUUACGUCCCUGCCCUUUGUACACACCGCCCGUCGCACCUACCGAUUGAAUGGUCCGGUGAAGCCUCCGGAUUGGCGCGCACCUCGGUGCCGCCGAGAAGUUGGCUAAACCUUACCAUUUAGAGGAAGGUGAAGUCGUAACA
rnacentral:rRNA from 1 species